rnacentral:lncRNA from 1 species
UGAAUAGGUAUGUGAUUUUGGCUUAUCACGAAUGAAGCAUAGCACCUUCCUUUCUUCCUGAUCAACUGCGGGAACAGUAUGCUAUCAUAAUUUUGAUUCCUUUUUCCAUUAGCUGUUGUAAAGUCUGUCCCCUUUAUUAAAUAAUAUCAUGUUAAUAAACAUGUUAGAACACGAGUUAAAGACACCUGGUAUAUCCUUUACCAAAAAACUAAUUUUGGAAGGCUGAGGAUAAUCUUUCCCGUAAAUUUUUAAAGUACGUUUUUCUGUUAUGCUUUGGUUCUGUCGUUUUGAAGCUCCUAAUUUGGGCAUUGUUUGGGACAUCUAUUUUCUUGCAUCAUCAUUCUUUUGUCUGCAAUGAUGAAAGACGACCUAGUAGAACUUAUUUGAAUUGGAUAUACAAGCAAAUACUUAUGUGUAUAAUAUGUUUCAGGCUGAAUGAAUGGCUCCAGAAGUGUUGAGAAAUGAACUUUCAGAUGAAAAGUAAGCUCUGUUAUUCUUUGCAGUUGUUGUUUUGCUUUAGGGACACGAAGGUGUUGUGAAAACCCUUCCAAUCCGACCACUCUUCCUCUAUUUAACAUUGCCACA